CUCUUAUCCAGAGAGGUGGAGGGACAGGCCCGAUGAAACCUCGACAACCAGCCGAAAUUCGGCAUGGUGCCAAUUCCUGCAGAAGUUUUUCUGGAAGAUAAGAG
rnacentral:ncRNA from 2 species